rnacentral:lncRNA from 1 species
AAGUAUUUAAUAAGCUCAUUUGGGAAAGAAAUUUUGAAUCUUCUCUCCUCUGAAUUCAGCUUGUUAUAAUAGCUGCAUUGAUGAAUAAUCAACAUUCCGUCCUCCUUUCUUCCCAGAAUUUUAGGGUAUCUCUGUGGAGAUCUUGAGAUAUGUUUGUAUAAGGCAGACUAUCAGCUCCUAUGUGUGGUGUAUGGUUGUGGAUGAAGAAAGAAUCCAGAAUUUAUUUAGGAAUGCAAUAAGCCUAGCCAAAAGUUGGCAUUUCUGAGCUUCAUCAAGCAAGUGGCUACAUCCUGACUGAUGAUAUGGGCUAGAGGGAAACAAAAAAGCUGCAAGAAGGAAAACGGACUUAUACCUACCAACUUGCAUUCUGUUCCGGUCAACAAUAUCCCAGAAAUGACUUCAUGCUGUGAAAUUGGCUCUUAUCUCCAAAAUUUCACUGGUACUCCCAGAACCAGCUUCAUAUACCCACUUAGAGAAAUAAAGGAGAAUAUAAAAUGUAAGUAAGUUUGGAGUAAUUUCCACUACUGAAGCAAAG